rnacentral:tRNA from 1 species
AGGUCUGUUUUAUCAGCUUUUCGAAAAUAAGUAAGUUUUUGAAUUAUUCCUUCCCAUAGGGAUGUAACUCAGUGGUAGAGUGUCACUUUGACGUGGUGGAAGUCAUCAGUUCGAUCCUGAUUAUCCCUA